rnacentral:lncRNA from 1 species
GUUUCUCUCUUGCCACCAUAAUGGAUCCCCCUAAACUAUAAAUAGGGGAUGGGGGGAAGGGAAGAGAGGCAGGAGAGGCCAAGAGGAAGGAAAGAAAGAGAGAAAGAGAGAAGAGAAGGGAGAGAGGCCGUGAGGUGAGAAAGAGAGAGUGGGAGUGAGAAACCCAUGAGGGUGUGUGUGUUUGUGAGAAUUUUGUGAGUCUUCCUUGGGGGAAACUCUGCUGAAAUUAUGAGAGGAAGGAAGAAAAAAGGAGGAAGGAACAGCAAAAGAAAGGAGAGGAAAAAGAGACAACUAAGCCAUGGCGAAGGAAGGCCAUAAUCGUGAGGAAAGGUAAGCAAUUUUCUUAAUUUUGGAAUUUAAUUUUUCAUGAGAUUUUGGGAUUAGUCUUUGAGUUAUAUUGUCAUUAUUUUUAAGACAAGAAAGUGAAUGAAAUCAUCUUGAGCUUUGUGAAGUUUUCAAAAGAAAAGGCUCAAGAAUUAAGACAUGACUCUCUCAGAAUUAAGGUUACAUGUUCUACAAGGUACAUAAUUUUAGGUUUCUUUUCAAGGGAAUUAGUUUACAUAUAAUGAGAAUAUUUUUUAUUGUAAAAUAAAAAUAAUUCUAAGGGGAGAUGCUGCCGAAAUUUGGUUAUAAAAUUGAAGUAUUUACAAGGGGAUACUCUUCUAAAAUAGAUAGAGAAAUUGAGAAAAAUAAAAAGGGAGAUUUUAACGAAGUAAAUACUCGAGGUUAAAAAGUGAGUGGAGAGGUUUGAAUUGAUUGUGUAGGACCUAAGGCAAGUGGAUCUUAUGGCUUUACUAGCGCUAGGUAGUUUUUGACAUAUUUCAAUAUAUAUAUAAGUGAAUUUGUGGUAUUAAUUGUAUGUGGUUUUAAGUAUUUGAUUGAUGUUGAUUUUGAUAAAACAUGUGUUGAUUUUAAGAAGGUUGUGGUGAUGUGGUUUCAAACAUGGAUCUUGUUUUGUGUGCAUCAUCAAUUAUAGAGAAGGGAUGUUCAGCUCCUACCUGCAUUAUGCUAAGUAGUGAUAUGCAUUGAGCACAUAGGGAGGUGGGUGGAGUUGUGAGAGCUAUGAAUGCCCAGUCGGUUCUGUGUCUCCGGGUUAUUAGUGGGCCUAUAAUCUCUUGUGUUAUGGAUCAUGGUGUAUGUGACAAGUGAUUGAGCCAAUAAUUAGUGUAAAAGGGGUGUGGGUUACCGAACCUUCAUAACAGCGUAUGACUCAUUGUAUAAUAUAACACUAUGACCUUAAUAUCAUGGAUUUGAGAUAUUAAACUGUAUAAGAUAUAUAUGAUUUUAAUAUGUUUAAAAACUUCUAUAUAUUGUAUGUAUUAAGUUGUGUUGUCAUAAU